rnacentral:rRNA from 1 species
UGGGGAAUAUUGCACAAUGGGCGCAAGCCUGAUGCAGCCAUGCCGCGUGUGUGAAGAAGGCCUUCGGGUUGUAAAGCACUUUCAGCGAGGAGGAAGGUGGUGAGCUUAAUACGCUCAUCAAUUGACGUUACUCGCAGAAGAAGCACCGGCUAACUCCGUGCCAGCAGCCGCGGUAAUACGGAGGGUGCAAGCGUUAAUCGGAAUUACUGGGCGUAAAGCGCACGCAGGCGGUUUGUUAAGUCAGAUGUGAAAUCCCCGGGCUCAACCUGGGAACUGCAUUUGAAACUGGCAAGCUAGAGUCUCGUAGAGGGGGGUAGAAUUCCAGGUGUAGCGGUGAAAUGCGUAGAGAUCUGGAGGAAUACCGGUGGCGAAGGCGGCCCCCUGGACGAAGACUGACGCUCAGGUGCGAAAAGCGUGGGGAGCAAAACAGGAUUAGAUACCCUGGUAGUCCACGCUGUAAAACGAUGUCGAUUUUGGAGGUUGUGCCCUUGAGGCGUGGCUUCCGGAGCUAACGCGUUAAAUCGACCGCCUGGGGAGUACGGCCGCAAGGUUAAAACUCAAAGGAAUUGAC